AUCUGAUUGGUAAAAUAGUUGUUAGAACAACCUGUAUACCACUCUACAGUUUGCAUUCUAUUUGCCUACAGGUGGUCGAACUCUACAAAUUAUUCGGGCCAAGAUAUCAGAUGGUGGUGAAUACACUUGUAUAGCUAUCAAUCAAGCUGGCGAAAGCAAGAAAAAGUUUUCCCUGACUGUUUAUGUGCCCCCGAGCAUUAAAGACCAUGACAGUGAAUCUCUUUCUGUAGUUAAUGUAAGAGAGGGAACUUCUGUGUCUUUGGAGUGCGAGUCGAACGCUGUCCCACCUCCAGUCAUCACUUGGUAUAAGAAUGGGCGGAUGAUAACAGAGUCUACUCAUGUGGAGAUUUUAGCCGAUGGACAAAUGCUACACAUUAAGAAAGCUGAGGUAUCUGACACAGGCCAGUAUGUAUGUAGAGCUAUAAAUGUAGCAGGACGGGAUGAUAAAAAUUUCCACCUCAAUGUAUAUGGUGAGCAUUUGCCUCUAAUACAACUCUUUUUCCCCCAGAUAUGCAAAUGAAAAAAAGUGUUCCAAAUUAGCUUAAUGAGGACAAAUAAUUUUCUUCUGUUUUUUGUUGUUGUUGUUGUUGUCGUUGUUUUUUUACAGUGCCACCCAGUAUUGAAGGACCUGAAAGAGAAGUGAUUGUGGAGACAAUCAGCAAUCCUGUGACGUUAACAUGUGAUGCCACUGGGAUCCCACCUCCCACGAUAGCAUGGUUAAAGAACCACAAGCACAUAGGUAAGUCAACUGUGCAUUUUGUGUGUGUGUGUAUUUUUUUUCUU
rnacentral:lncRNA from 1 species